rnacentral:tRNA from 2 species
GCUCUUCUAGUAUAUCAAUUACAAUCGACUUCCAAUCCUUAAAAUCUGGUGCAACUCCAGAGAAGAGCA